rnacentral:snoRNA from 1 species
AAGCAAUGAUGAAAGCUGCGCAUCAGUGGUGAUGGGUCGCCAAUUCUCCCAGAUCUUGAUCGGACGAUAAACAGCGCAUCUGAGCUC